rnacentral:rRNA from 1 species
UACGUAGGGUGCGAGCGUUAAUCGGAAUGACUGGGCGUAAAGGGUGCGUAGGCGGUAUGAUAAGACGGAUGUGAAAUCCCCGGGCUUAACCUGGGAACUGCAUUCGUGACUGUCCUGCUAGAGUAUGGAAGAGGGGGGUAGAAUUCCACGUGUAGCAGUGAAAUGCGUAGAGAUGUGGAGGAAUACCGAUGGCGAAGGCAGCCCCCUGGUCACAUACUGACGCUGAGGCACGAAAGCGUGGGGAGCAAACAGG